CCUACGGGUGGCAGCAGCAAGGAAUUUUCCGCAAUGGGCGCAAGCCUGACGGAGCAACGCCGCGUGGGGGAUGACGCUUUUCGGAGUGUAAACCCCUUUUCUCAGGGAUGCAGUACCUGAGGAAGAAGGCCCGGCUAACUACGUGCCAGCAGCCGCGGUAAUACGUAGGGGUCGAGCGUUGUCCGGAGUUACUGGGCGUAAAGCGCGCGCAGGCGGCGCGAUAAGACCGGCGUGAAAGCCCCCGGCUCAACCGGGGAGGGUCGUUGGUGACUGUCGCGCUUGAAGGCAGCAGGGGUAGUGGAAUUCCCGGUGUAGUGGUGAAAUGCGUAGAGAUCGGGAGGAACACCCGUGGCGAAGGCGGCUCACUGGCUACCUUGACGCUGAGGCGCGAAGGCGUGGGGAGCGAACGGGAUUAGAUACCCUUGUAGUC
rnacentral:rRNA from 1 species